rnacentral:lncRNA from 1 species
CAGGUAAGGGGGUUGGGAGCACAGUGCUUGUGCUACUGCACACUUCUUUGGCGGGUCUUUUAUUUGCUAGAUCUUAAAUUUAAAAAAAUUUAGGUGAAAUUAGAUUCCUCUGUCCUUGGUUGGUCUGUGGACACAGUAUCUGCUCCCAGAAAGAGGCGAGGGAGAAGAGAAGUUCUCCUUUCUGGGCUCAGAUGCUCACUGGGGACAAGGAGGUGGUCACCCAGUCCUCCUAUACACCAGAGCCUGCCGGAGGGAGCUCCCACGGGCCAGUCAUGCUGUUGGCCACUUUGCCAUCACCACUGCCGAAUUCAUCCUUACUUAUGGAUAGAACUUUUUAAAAAUGUGAGUCGUAGAGAUUUGGAAAAACUUGAGUUUUGUGUGUGUAGUUAAAAAUAAAACAAAAUGCAUAAUUUUAACCCUUUUAAGUUUACAUAGGGUUAACCAUAUGCACAUCUCAACUUUUUAAUCUUGCACAAUGAAAUCCGACACACUGAAUGGCCGUUCCCCUUUUCUUCCCUACCUCAAUCCCUGACAACCACCAUUCUAAAGAGUGGACUUCAGAUACCUCAUCUGAGUGGAAUCAUACAGUAUUUUUUUCUGACCGGCUUGUUUUAUUUAGCAUAAUGUAGUCAGUUUUCAUUCUGUUGUAGCAUAUGGCAGGAUUUCCUUCCUUUGCAAGGGCGAAUAGUUUUCUAUUAAUAUUUGUAUAUACCAUUUUUUGUGUGUGUACUGAGAUUAAACCCAGGAUGCUUUUACCACUGAGCCACAUCCCCAGCCUUUUAUUGUUUUGAGACAGGGUAUCUCUAAAAUGCUGAGACUGACCUCAAACUUGCCAUCCUCCUGCCUCAGCCUCCUGAGUUGCUGAUUUACAGGUGUGUACCAUGACUAUAUACCAUGUUUGCUUUACCCAUUAGUUGGCAGACAGAUUCUUCUUCUUGGCUAUUGUGAAUGCUUCAAUCACAGCAGUACACAAAUAUAUUCAAGGUCCAUUCUCAGUUCUUUUGAAUAUAUACCCAAAAGGACUAUUGGAUCAUAUGGUAGGUCUAGUUUUUUAAAGGAAUCUCCACACUACAUGCCAUAAUGGCUACACUGUUUUACAUUCUCAACAGUAGGGCCCAAGAGUUCCAGUUUAUUCAUGUCUUUUUUGUAGUGGUCA